rnacentral:rRNA from 1 species
AUUGAACGCUGGCGGCAGGCCUAACACAUGCAAGUCGAAUGGUAACAGGAAACAGCUUGCUGUUUCGCUGACGAGUGGCGGACGGGUGAGUAAUGUCUGGGAAACUGCCUGAUGGAGGGGGAUAACUACUGGAAACGGUAGCUAAUACCGCAUAACGUCGCAAGACCAAAGAGGGGGACCUUCGGGCCUCUUGCCAUCAGAUGUGCCCAGAUGGGAUUAGCUAGUAGGUGGGGUAACGGCUCACCUAGGCGACGAUCCCUAGCUGGUCUGAGAGGAUGACCAGCCACACUGGAACUGAGACACGGUCCAGACUCCUACGGGAGGCAGCAGUGGGGAAUAUUGCACAAGGGGCGCAAGCCUGAUGCAGCCAUGCCGCGUGUAUGAAGAAGGCCUUCGGGUUGUAAAGUACUUUCAGCGGGGAGGAAGGGAGUAAAGUUAAUACCUUUGCUCAUUGACGUUACCCGCAGAAGAAGCACCGGCUAACUCCGUG